rnacentral:tRNA from 1 species
GCGGGGGUGCCCGAGCCAGGUUAAAGGGGGCGGUCCGGCUAUCCGCUGGCGUAGGCCUGCCCGGGUUCGAAUCCCGGCCCCCGCACCA